rnacentral:rRNA from 1 species
UACGUAGGGUGCGAGCGUUGUCCGGAAUUAUUGGGCGUCAAGAGCUUGUAGGCGGUUUGUCGCGUCUGCUGUGAAAAUCCGGGGCUCAACCCCGGACUUGCAGUGGGUACGGGCAGACUAGAGUGUGGUAGGGGAGACUGGAAUUCCUGGUGUAGCGGUGGAAUGCGCAGAUAUCAGGAGGAACACCGGUGGCGAAGGCGGAUCUCUGGGCCAUAACUGACGCUGAGGAGCGAAAGCAUGGGGAGCGAACAGG